rnacentral:rRNA from 1 species
CUUUGGGAUAACCCUCGGAAACGGGGGCUAAUACCGGAUAUUCAUGAUUGGUCGCAUGGCUGGUUGUGGAAAGUUUUUCGGCUGGGGAUGGGCUCGCGGCCUAUCAGCUUGUUGGUGGGGUGAUGGCCUACCAAGGCUUCGACGGGUAGCCGGCCUGAGAGGGCGACCGGCCACACUGGGACUGAGACACGGCCCAGACUCCUACGGGAGGCAGCAGUGGGGAAUAUUGCACAAUGGGCGGAAGCCUGAUGCAGCGACGCCGCGUGAGGGAUGACGGCCUUCGGGUUGUAAACCUCUUUCAGCAGGGACGAAGCGUGAGUGACGGUACCUGCAGAAGAAGCGCCGGCCAACUACGUGCCAGCAGCCGCGGUAAGACGUAGGGCGCAAGCGUUGUCCGGAUUUAUUGGGCGUAAAGAGCUCGUAGGCGGCUUGUUGCGUCGACUGUGAAAACCUGCGGCUUAACUGUGGGCUUGCAGUCGAUACGGGCAGGCUGGAGUUCGGUAGGGGAGACUGGAAUUCCUGGUGUAGCGGUGAAAUGCGCAGAUAUCAGGAGGAACACCGGUGGCGAAGGCGGGUCUCUGGGCCGAUACUGACGCUGAGGAGCGAAAGCGUGGGGAGCGAACAGGAUUAGAUACCCUGGUAGUCCACGCUGUAAACGUUGGGCGC